UACGGAGGGUGCAAACGUUGCUCGGAAUCAUUGGGCGUAAAGCGCACGUAGGCGGCCCGUUAAGUCGGAUGUGAAAGCCCAGGGCUCAACCCUGGAAGUGCAUUCGAAACUGGCGGGCUUGAAUAUGGAAGAGGGUCGCGGAAUUCCCGGUGUAGAGGUGAAAUUCGUAGAUAUCGGGAGGAACACCAGUGGCGAAGGCGGCGACCUGGGCCAAUAUUGACGCUGAGGUGCGAAAGCGUGGGGAGCAAAC
rnacentral:rRNA from 1 species